AUGCAGUCGAGGGGCAGCAUUCCAGUUUGCUUGCANACUGGAGAUGGCGACCGGCGCACGGGUGAGUNCACGUAUCCAACCUGCCGAUAACUCGGGGAUAGCCUUUCGAAAGAAAGAUUAAUACCCGAUGGCAUAAUANAACCGCAUGGUUUGAUUAUUAAAGAAUUUCNGUUAUCGAUGGGGAUGCGUUCCAUUAGGCAGUUGGUGGGGUAACGGCU
rnacentral:rRNA from 1 species